AUUGAACGCUGGCGGCAGGCCUAACACAUGCAAGUCGAACGAGUGGCGGACUGGUGAGAACUGUCUGGGAAACUGCCAGAUGGAGGGGGAUAACUACUGGAAACGGUAGCUAAUACCGCAUACCAUCGGAUGUGCCCAACUGUGAUUAGCUCGUAGGUGGGGUAAAGGCCUACUUAGGCGAAGAUCCAUAGCUGGUCUGAGCGGAUGACCAGACACACUGGAACGGAGACACGGUCCAGACUCCGACGGGAGGCAGCAGUGGGGAAGAUUGCACAAUUGGCGCAAGCCUGAUGCAGCCCUGCCGCGUGUAUGAAGAAGGCCUUCGGUUUGUAAAGUACUUUCAGCGGGGAGGCGUUACCCGCAGAAGAAGCACCGGCUAACUCCGUGCCAGCAGCCGCGGUAAUUC
rnacentral:rRNA from 1 species